rnacentral:lncRNA from 1 species
AUUAUCGAGUUACUACCGCACCAAAUCAGUUUCGUGCAUUUAUGUCAGAACCUUAGGAUUGAACAGAAGAGUUUGUAACUGCUGAAUUUGAGGAAGCUCAAGUCGACGAAAGUUAACACUUUUGAAGAAUGUGAGGACAGAACUUCAAGGAUUAGCAUAACACUGUCUGAGAGGUUUAGUCAUGUCAGAUUCAGAUGGAAUCCAUUGGUUUCAAGUGGUGACUCUUCAGGGUUCAGUUCAAGGAGGUUGUUUUCAAAACUGAGUUGGUCAAUACACACAACAUUGUUUGGUAUCUUUAGCAAAGGUGGGUUGCUAUAUAUAUUGAAGCCUCAACAAACAAGGAUGAUAGGGCUUGUCUGAAAUUCAAGUGGAUGUUUUGAAAGAAACAUCACAACAAGUUCUUAUGCUAUUUUAGGAAAGGUGUGAGCUGGAUCAGUUGCUGAUGAGAAGGAUGAUUAUGGUUAUCUGGCUAUCCUAGCAUUCUCUGAAGAUGACUCAACUCGCACAUCUCAGGUAC